rnacentral:rRNA from 1 species
UACAGAGGUCUCAAGCGUUGUUCGGAUUCAUUGGGCGUAAAGGGUGUGUAGGUGGCGCGCUAAGUCGGGUGUGAAAUUUCGGAGCUUAACUCCGAAACUGCAUUCGAUACUGGCGUGCUUGAGGACUGGAGAGGAGACUGGAAUUCAUGGUGUAGCAGUGAAAUGCGUAGAGAUCAUGAGGAACACCAGUGGCGAAGGCGACUACCUGGCCUGAUUUCUUGACGCUGGAGGCGCGAAAGCUAGGGGAGCAAACGGG